rnacentral:piRNA from 1 species
UGGUGUGGAAAAGGUUCAUUUCUUUAC